UCGUAAACGAUUUAUCGUUUGUUUGAGCUUUUCGCAUACGCAAUCCGGCGAACAAUACUCUCAAAGUUUGACCUCAAAUCAGGUAGGAAUACCCGCUGAACUUAAGCAUAUCAAUAAGCGGAGGAAAAGAAACCAACCGGGAUUGCCUUAGUAACGGCGAGUGAAGCGGCAAAAGCUCAAAUUUGAAAUCUGGUACCUUCGGUGCCCGAGUUGUAAUUUGUAGAAGGUAACUUUGGGGCUGGUCCUUGUCUAUGUUCCUUGGAACAGGACGUCAUAGAGGGUGAGAAUCCCGUGUGGCGAGGAUCCCAGUUCUUUGUAAAGUGCUUUCGAAGAGUCGAGUUGUUUGGGAAUGCAGCUCUAAGUGGGUGGUAAAUUCCAUCUAAAGCUAAAUAUUGGCGAGAGACCGAUAGCGAACAAGUACAGUGAUGGAAAGAUGAAAAGAACUUUGAAAAGAGAGUGAAAAAGUACGUGAAAUUGUUGAAAGGGAAGGGCAUUUGAUCAGACAUGGUGUUUUGCGCCCUCUGCUCCUUGUGGGUGGGGGAAUCUCGCAGCUCACUGGGCCAGCAUCAGUUUUGGCGGCAGGAUAAAUCUGCAGGAAUGUAGCUUGCCUCGGUAAGUGUUAUAUCCUGUAGAAAUACUGCCAGCUGGGACUGAGGACUGCGACUUUACGUCAAGGAUGCUGGCAUAAUGGUUAUAUGCCGCCCGUCUUGAAACACGGACCAAGGAGUCUAACGUCUAUGCGAGUGUUUGGGUGUAAAACCCGUACGCGUAAUGAAAGUGAACGUAGGU
rnacentral:rRNA from 1 species